UACGAGUUGUGCAAACGUUAUUCGGAAUCACUGGGCUUAAAGGGUGCGUAGGCGGCUAUGAAAGUCAGAUGUGAAAUCCCUCGGCUCAACCGAGGAACUGCAUUUGAAACUGUAUAGCUUGAGGGAGACAGAGGUGAGCGGAACUGAUGGUGGAGCGGUGAAAUGCGUUGAUAUCAUCAGGAACACCGGUGGCGAAAGCGGCUCACUGGGUCUUAUCUGACGCUGAGGCACGAAAGCCAGGGGAGCAAACGGG
rnacentral:rRNA from 2 species